AAUAGAUACCCCGGUAGUCCACGCCGUAAACGAUGAGUGCUAGGUGUUGGGGGUUUCAAUACCCUCAGUGCCGCAGCUAACGCAAUAAGCACUCCGCCUGGGGAGUACGGUCGCAAGACUGAAACUCAAAGGAAUUGACGGGGGCCCGCACAAGCGGUGGAGCAUGUGGUUUAAUUCGAAGCAACGCGAAGAACCUUACCAGGUCUUGACAUCCCGCUGACCGCUCUGGAGACAGAGCUUCCCUUCGGGGCAGCGGUGACAGGUGGUGCAUGGUUGUCGUCAGCUCGUGUCGUGAGAUGUUGGGUUAAGUCCCGCAACGAGCGCAACCCUUAUCUUUAGUUGCCAGCAUUCAGUUGGGCACUCUAGAGAGACUGCCGUCGACAAGACGGAGGAAGGCGGGGAUGACGUCAAAUCAUCAUGCCCCUUAUGACCUGGGCUACACACGUGCUACAAUGGUUGGUACAACGGGAUGCUACCUCGCGAGAGGACGCCAAUCUCUUAAAACCAAUCUCAGUUCGGAUUGU
rnacentral:rRNA from 1 species